AAAAUAAAUUUCGAGCUCCACUGGAAAAAUCAGCGACACCAAUUCUACGAUCCGGCGAGCUUUCAAGCCGCACGAGCAUCUCAUCCCCGUCACAAAAUUUUCGCCGUCUGCCUCUUGUUCUCGGCGGAUGCUGCCGUCCAGCCAUCACCACCUCUAGUCGGAGCAAGGGAUGGUUCUUUUCAGCCUCCGAUUCACCACGAAUCACCGUAACCUAAGCUCUUCUCGUUCGGAGAUCCACCAUUGUCGCCUUGAAACGGAAGCCGGCGAAAAUCUCUGCAAAAAAGAAACCCUUUUGUUGCAUCAAAGCUCUAAUUCAAUUCCGAGGCCUUCGCAAGACGCUCGCAGAGCUCCCCCGCCUUGGAGAAUGACGCGGCCCCUAAGGGGGUCCGCCUUCGCCGUCGAAUCCACGCAGAAGCGGUGAAAGUCGUGUUGAAGAAUACCACCGCCGCCGCCUCCAAAAGAAAACCGACGAGGGUCAACACCAGGGCACACGGCCGCCGGUCAUCGCCGCUUCCUCUGGAACCUCAAAGAACCGCCGCGCCGCCUGUCCCUCUCGUUCCUCUCGGAAAUAUUUUUCCCUUGAUCUGAAAAUAUAUUUCUCUCUCUACUCUCCAUCUAUCAUACUAGCUAUCACGCCUAUUUUCUCUGAGGAGUCAGACU
rnacentral:lncRNA from 1 species